rnacentral:rRNA from 1 species
AGAGUUUGAUCCUGGCUCAGGAUGAACGCUGGCGGCGUGCCUAAUACAUGCAAGUCGAACGCUUCACAUCGGUGAAGAGUGGCGAACGGGUGAGUAAUACAUAAGUAACCUGGCAUCUACAGGGGGAUAACUGAUGGAAACGUCAGCUAAGACCGCAUAGGUGUAGAGAUCGCAUGAACUCUAUAUGAAAAGUGCUACGGGACUGGUAGAUGAUGGACUUAUGGCGCAUUAGCUUGUUGGUAGGGUAAAGGCCUACCAAGGCGACGAUGCGUAGCCGACCUGAGAGGGUGACCGGCCACACUGGGACUGAGACACGGCCCAGACUCCUACGGGAGGCAGCAGUAGGGAAUUUUCGGCAAUGGGGGAAACCCUGACCGAGCAACGCCGCGUGAAGGAAGAAGUAAUUCGUUAUGUAAACUUCUGUCAUAGAGGAAGAACGGUGGAUAUAGGGAAUGAUAUCCAAGUGACGGUACUCUAUAAGAAAGCCACGGCUAACUACGUGCCAGCAGCCGCGGUAAUACGUAGGUGGCGAGCGUUAUCCGGAAUUAUUGGGCGUAAAGAGGGAGCAGGCGGCACUAAGGGUCUGUGGUGAAAGAUCGAAGCUUAACUUCGGUAAGCCAUGGAAACCGUAGAGCUAGAGUGUGUGAGAGGAUCGUGGAAUUCCAUGUGUAGCGGUGAAAUGCGUAGAUAUAUGGAGGAACACCAGUGGCGAAGGCGACGAUCUGGCGCAUAACUGACGCUCAGUCCCGAAAGCGUGGGGAGCAAAUAGGAUUAGAUACCCUAGUAGUCCACGCCGUAAACG